rnacentral:rRNA from 1 species
UUGCACGCUGGCGGCAGGCCUAACCCCUGCAAGUCGCGCGGAUGAAGGGAGCUUGCUCCUGGAUUCAGCGGCGGACGGGUGAGUAAUGCCUAGGAAUCUGCCUGGUAGUGGGGGAUAACGUCCGGAAACGGGCGCUAAUACCGCAUACGUCCUGAGGGAGAAAGUGGGGGAUCUUCGGACCUCACGCUAUCAGAUGAGCCUAGGUCGGAUUAGCUAGUUGGUGGGGUAAAGGCCUACCAAGGCGACGAUCCGUAACUGGUCUGAGAGGAUGAUCAGUCACACUGGAACUGAGACACGGUCCAGACUCCUACGGGAGGCAGCAGUGGGGAAUAUUAGACAAUGGGCGAAAGCCUGAUCCAGCCAUGCCGCGUGUGUGAAGAAGGUCUUCGGAUUGUAAAGCACUUUAAGUUGGGAGGAAGGGCAGUAAGUUAAUACCUUGCUGUUUUGACGUUACCAACAGAAUAAGCACCGGCUAACUUCGUG